GACGAACGCUGGCGGCGUGCUUAACACAUGCAAGUCGAACGGAAAGGCCCUGCUUUUGUGGGGUGCUCGAGUGGCGAACGGGUGAGUAACACGUGAGUAACCUGCCCUUGACUUUGGGAUAACUUCAGGAAACUGGGGCUAAUACCGGAUAGGAGCUCCUGCUGCAUGGUGGGGGUUGGAAAGUUUCGGCGGUUGGGGAUGGACUCCCGGCUUAUCAGCUUGUGGGGCGGGUAGUGGCUUACCAAGGCUUCGACGGGUAGCCGGCCUGGGAGGGUGGCCGCGCUCAUUGGGACUGAGAGACGGCGCAGUGUCCUACGGGAGGCAGUGGUCGAGAAUAUUGCACAAUGGGGGGAAGCCUGAUGCAGCAACCCCGGGUGCGGGAUGCCGUCCUUCGGGUUGUAAACCGCAUUCGCCUGUGACGAAGUGGGAGUGACGGUAAUGGGUAAAGAAGCACCGGCUAACUACGUG
rnacentral:rRNA from 1 species